UAUAGCUUCAGACUUCAGUGUUGAUCAAACACAGAAAAUAGAGAGGACGAAAUGAGAGAAGCAUGGCACGAAAAAAGCACAAGGAAAAUGUAAAGUCUUUUUCUUUGCGCCAUGGCAUAUUUUGAGUCCAGCUCAAUAUUUUUAGUAUAUUACAAUUUGGUAUCAAAGCCCACUGCAUGAGUCCUUGAACUUUGGGACAACCUCCCAUGAAUGGAAAUCUGCAAAGCAUUGUUCCAACACAGAUGGCUGUAUUACCAGCACCAGACCAGGUAGAAUAUUACCUGUGGGGGUUAAUAGGCAUGGAAAUCCCAGAACAAUGGAGUUGGAUAGAUUGAGGGAAUAAGGACUAUGCUUUACCUGCAGGGAGAGAUGGCAGCCAGGGCAUAGGUGCAGGGAAAGAAAUACGAACUGUAUCAUAGGGCCUGCAGAUAAUGAUGCAGAUGAGACAGAAGAAAGAGUUGGAUUACUGGGAUGGCAAUGGGUUGGGGAGGGCUACAUCCACCACCCGACCCACCUUAUACUUUCCCCACCCACCCAGCAUUACCCAACUAUCAAGGUAAAAGGGUCACGUUUGAGGGACUAAGCCCCAACAGGCAAUGUAAAGAGGUUGAAUUCCAGGAGAUUCUAAAGGAAAUUCAGCAAGACUGCAAGAGGGAAUUGGGUUAAUAGUACAGUGCUGCAAUAUCCAAGGUAAUGAUGGUAUUGAAACCAUCACUGAGACUGAACCAAAAAUCCUGGAGGUAAUUAAGCAAAAGAUUUUGCAGGCUACAUAUGACUCUGAGUUGGGGAUCACUCAGGUACCUUGGGAUUUAGGGACUUAUCAAAUGGCCAAAGUUAUCUUUCUACUGGCUACAUGCGAAGCAGAAAAUGUCUAAAUAUGUCUAGGGGUGUGAUAUUUGUCAGAGGAACAAGUCUGAGAACAGCUCUGGCCUCUUACAGCCUCUUCACUCUUAGCAUUCUAGAACAGGCCUGGACUCACAUUGCCAUGGAUAUUUUUGAAGGGCUGCCUAAUUAUGAAUUUAGGGAUGUUAUCUUGGGGGCAGUUGACAGGUUCAACAUAUAUGCACACUUCAUACUGCUAGACCAUCCUAUCACUGCCAAGGAAGUAGCUGCAAUCAGAAGAAAAUGUUAAGUUCUAAGUACUAUGGCCACUAUGAAGAGUUGGAUGGAAUUGGACCAGUAGCACACAAGCUUAAAUUGCCAGUGUGAUGCUUAAUCCAUACAGUAUUCCAUGUCUCCCAACUCAUGAGGAACCUGUAGCCAUUCUGCAAAGCAGAAAAAAACAGUGCUGCUAGUGCAUAUGGGUUCAAUGGAUCAAUUUGAGUCUGGACUCUGGAGGCAACGUGGGAAGUGUUUAGACCCACUUGACAGCACAAAUCUUGAUUACGAGACAAGGUUUAUCAAAAGGGGAGAGGAAUGCUAUGCUACUAAGGGAUAAAAGAGUCUUCUUAAUGGUAUCCGAAACAUUGUCAUAGGAUUGAAGUGGGUGUUUCAGACCGUUGCUGCUUCAGUUGCCACACAGCUGUAUUGCAAGGAUGAGAGUUGGCUAUGGCGUUUUACUAUUUUGUUGUUAUUAAGCUGUAUUUUGUUUGUUGCAUUGUAGGAAUUUGGGUUUGGGUUACUGGUUACGAGAGUUUGAAUGAAGAUUUUCCGAUUUUCCCUGUC